AUCACCCAUCACCACCACAGAACGAUCCCUGAUUGAUGACUGGUGUCUGCAGGGCAUCGGGGGGCGUCAGCAGCCCUCAGCGACACCAAGCCCGGGAACUCUCGCCUCGUUAUGUGGCCAACUUUAACGUGGAGAACACGACCAAGGGCGACUCUGGACAUAUCGCUGCAUCAGCCAAUCAGAGCGCGGCGUGGGCGUGUCUUCCUAUGCCGAGCUCACCGUCAAACAACCUCCUGUACCAAUUGCCCCUCCUCAGUUGAUAGCAGUCGGCGCCACCUACCUGUGGAUCCAACUCAACGCCAACUCCAUCAACGGUGAUGGACCAAUCAUUGAGAGAGAGGUGAGGUGUCGAUUCCUGGUGGGUUUAGGUUCUGGUGGGUUUUCGCCAAGGUUCUUGGGAACUGUUCCUGGGAACUGGUGACGUCAUAUAGAAGGUUCUGGUGCUCCUUUGGUUCUUAUUGAAGUCCUGAUCUGCCAUGUUUUCACAUCUUGAUGAGGCUUCAGAACUCUUCAGUGAAGCAGUUUGUUGUUGACGGUCGUUCCGUUCCUCGGUGAUGGCUCGGUGAACGGAACAUGGAUCUGGUUUCAGGUGGAGUACCGCACGCUGUCAGGAAUGCUGAUCGACACCACGCCAGUGGAUAAGCCCACACACAGAUUGGACAUUUGGACCCCGACACGAAUACGAGAUCAGCGUGCUUCUCACCAGAUCGCUGGAUGGUGGAACAGGAAGACCUGGACCACCUCUUAGGGCCAGAACCAAGUGUGCAGGUGAGUCAGGUCACAUGAUCAUGAGGAUGAUGAUGGUGAUGAGGAUGUAUGCUCCUGUGAUGCUUCAGUGGAACCAGCUUUCUCCAUUCUAGUGAGUUCUUGGUGAAGGUCUGUGAGGGUCUGCGGAACCUCUGUGUUUAAUAAUGAAUUAGCAUCUCCACCAGACAAGCUUCAGGACUUAGUGCCCACUGAGUCGACUCAGUGUGGUGUCUCCUGAACAGGAGUGCUCACGACCCGUGUGUCCUCCUGGAUCCUGAACUCUGAACAGAACCACGCUUUAGAACGGAUCUAUUGGCUUGGGUCAUGUUAGUAACAGUCUUUAAUGUUCUUCAAAGUUCUGGUGGUCGUGAUGGCUUUCCAGAACAUGUGACUGGAUGCUCCGAUACGUGAGACAUGCAUGAAGGUCCACGGUUCUAGUUGGUGCCCCCCCCCCCAACACACACACACACACACAUGCAAUGAAAAUAAAAUACUUUCUUUCAGGACAGAAACCACAAUCAGCAUCUGUGUGUGUGUGUGUGUGUGUGUGUGUGUUGUGUGUGUGGGUGGGUGUGUGUGU
rnacentral:lncRNA from 1 species